GCAAAAGGACUGGAUAAGGUGUUGGCCUUUAGCUGUUAAACAUCAUUAGAUUGACUAUGGAAAGAAGAUGCCCCUUCUGUUUUUGGGGUCUGUAGGUCAAAGUAACUUCAUGACAUAAAAUAAGUAGAAAUUCUUUAACAUACAAGUCUCAAACUUCACCAGAUGGCUGUGGUCAUUAGAUGACACGGGUCAAGUUCAAAGUGGUCUUGCUGCAUGCAAACGGUUUCCGAUCGCUUGUGUUUAUGGCUAUAUAAAAUUCAAAGAAUGAUUUUCAUGUAAUCAGUAGGUGACCUCUGUUGUUUUGGAGUCCAUAACUUAAAGGUCAUUACCAAGAUAACUUUUAGACAGAAAACGUGUUUCUGGUCAGUAAAUGGAGAAAGAUGAGUACUGAUUUUCUGUUGAUGACUUCUACUUUUUACGAGACCAUUACGUCAGAUGUCAAGGCCAUAGCAUACUUGAUACCGAAAGUUACAUAUACAUACUUAUACCCAUACAGUUACCCUAGACAUGCCAUCACCGAGGCAUAUGAUUAUUUGUUUUAUACACAGCUCUUAUUUAUUUACAGUUGCACCUUUUUUCAAGCAACUUAUUUCAAGUAUUUAUCACCAUAAAAAACAACAACAAAAAAAAACACGCAAAAAUGUUCUCUUGUACACUUCCCGUGAGGGUAUGAAACAACUUUACCGAAACCUUUAAUUUGUUGUAAAUUAUUGUAAACUGUUAAUCAUUAUCAUUAUUUAACAGAACCUCAUUUUCAUACACCGAAACAAUACCAAGAGGUUGAUCCUCUACACAAUAAUCUCACGUGGCACAGCCUGAGUGAUUUAUACACGCGGCAUAUAACCGAUUCGUAAUGUUUCGAUAUAUGGAAAUAUGGUUUUAAAUAUUAUUUCGAUUUCAAUAUGUCUUUCGUGUAAACAAGUAGAUGAAAUAGAGAAGAACUAUUUCAUGGCGAGUGCAUGGCGCCAAAUAUAAUAGGUCGGUGUGACGUUAACGUGUUUUAUCAGCAUUAAAUUACGGGGCGAACUAACGUCCUGCGGAAUAACUUAAGUGCGUAGGCAUCUAAUGACUUAUUGUUUGCACUUAAUAUAGUGUGUGUGAAUUACGUCUAACACUGUUCUGAAGUGUAUUUUAUAUAAAUAGAUCAAAUGUGAUAGUACCCUUUCUCGGCGCCUGUAUGGCGCCAAAUAAUAUGCUGACGUGACGUCAAAUUUUCAUGUUUUAACGGAAAUGUGCAUCGGUUUUCCAUUUCAGAAUCUAAUUAAGAAAUAAUUUGUAGCAAAAUAGUGCUUUAACACUAUUUAUGCACGAUGGGUGGUUAUACGUCGGGCGUAAUAAUUUCACGAGGGCGCAGCCCGAGUGAAAUUUGUACGACGUAUAACCACCCGAGUGUAUAAAUAGUGUUAAAACACGGUUGUGCUAUAAAUUAUUUCGAUUCUAAUAUGCCCUUAAUCUAAAACAGUAGAUAAAAUAUAGAAGCGCUCUUCCUUGGUCGCAACAAAAACUUUGACGUCAACGCACGUUAACGUGACGUCAUUCUAGCGUAAGUGUUUAGACGUCACUUAGACAUUAUUUGGCACCACAUAUGCGCUGAGAGAGAGAGAGUGGUGUCGCAUUUAAUAUACUAUCGAUUAUUAAGCGGGUAGAAUAACUCACUAGACUUCUAGGCACUCCUAAGUUAUUCCGCGGGACGUGUUACUUCUUAUUUGGUUACGCGUUGAUGUCGCGUCGACCUACUAUAUUUGACGCCACAAAAUAGCGCUUCUAUAAUCCAUCUACUUGUUUAUAUAAAACAAAUUAGAAUCGAAAUAAUAUAUACCAGAACCAUGUUUUAAUAUAUCUCGGCAAUACGAAACGAUAAAACGCUGCGUGUUUAGUUCACACCCUUGUGAAAUUAUUCCGUAAGGUAUUGUUUUGAAAUGUUAAAACAUGGUUCUGCUACAGAUCUGUAUUAUUUCUUAACUAAUUCCUAUGGCUAAAGAAAUAAAAAUAUACUGAGGGUUUAUAUCUAAAACACAUGAUUAAAACUUUAAAGAUGUUAUUAUGCUUAGUCCCCAGUUUGAAAGCCAUACUUAACAAUAGUACGUUCAUGUAUUAUUGUAUCCUAUUAAACCAUGAAAAAUAGUAUGUUUCUCUCCAAUAUGAUUAUAUUUUUACACAGGAAAUGAAUACAACGAAAUUUUUCUUUUUUACACUAGGUAUUUCUCGUCAGACGUCAACAACAGGUUUAUUGAUUUUGUCACGAAUGACGUCAACAAGUGGUUUACCAAUCGGAGUAGGCCGACAUACAUCUACAUCCGGGCUACCUAAGGUAGUAUCGAGACAAACAUCUACCAGUAGUUUAUUGACUGCAAGCCGUGCACGUGAAAUUCCUGCAUCCAGUAAAGAAAAGGAACCUUCUGACGAAGACUCCGAAGAUUCAGAUGAUGCAAUGGACAUUGACGUUUAAAAUGAAGAUACAAAAUAAACGAACAUUGUUAGAUCUAUUUCAGUAAAGCAUGUUUAACAAUUUACGUUUCGGAAUGAAACUAUAAAAUCAGUUCAUUUUCUUGUGUCUAUGAUAUUGUGACGUCAAACUGCAAUAGCUGAAUAUGUAUUAGGUAGUGUAUGUAUGUAACCUGCAAUUUAUUGACAGAGACUCGCAUAAAACAAUUUGCUCGCACAUUUUUGGGACUAUACUUAUAUAAAAAAUUGAAAGAAAUGUCUACAAAAUAGAGUUCUAUAACCAUAUCAAGUUUUUAACGAAUAUCAUGCGAUGACAGAAAGACCUAACUGACAGAGUCAUAUAUAUUCUGAUAUAUAUUUUAUUUGUUACGUAAUCUGUAACAGCACGAUGAUAUCUGAUAUGUUCCGUAAGGGGCAUAUCCAGCCGUCAGAUACCCGAGUGUUUACAUUACCCUAUCCGUUUAUGACCUGUUUAAGGGUACGUCAGGGGAGUGGUUAAGGUCGCUAACUUCGAAUCACUUGCCUCUAACAGAUGUAGGUUCGAGCCUCGCUCAGGCGUUGAAUUCUUCGUGUGAGGAAGCCAUCCAGCUGGCUUGCGGAAGUUCGUUGGUUCUAGCCAGGUGCCCACUCGAGAUGAAAUACUAGUAAUGCAUGGAGGGACACCUGGCGUCUUCCUCCACCAUCAAAGCUGGAAAGUUGUCAUAUGACGUAUAAUUGUGCCGUUGCGACGUUAAACCCAAUAUAAACAAAAGAAAAUAAGGGUACGUCACAAAUGACUGUUGUUUUGGAACAAACCUCACUGGAAUUCAAGUAAAAGACAUUAAUCAUAUCUUUUGAUGGCGUUUCAUAUUCCAGAUAUUAUAUUUUUCGUUGGUAUCAUUUGAAAAUGCUUUAUAACAGUAAUUCUGGCUUCAUAUUAAAAUGUCAUAGAAUAGUAACCUAACGGAAGUCUAUGAACCUUUAGCCUGAUAAUUUUUUAAAAAAAAGGACUGAGUCCAUCAUUCAAUUCGGGUACUACCAUUUAUUAUCUGAAGGGGUGUUCAAGACCGACUGGCGAACAGUGCAGACCAUGAUCAGCCUGCAAGAAUGUGCAGGCUGAUCUAUGCCACCGGCAGGCUAAAGGUUAAAACAGAUUUAAUUAAAGCAUAGCUGGUAGUCAAUUAUAUAUUCUUUGUUAUCCGAUCGCUAUGUUUCCAUUGUUCUUGAUCAAACUUGUUGACUCCUACCUGUUCAAAGUCAAAAUAAUUUGCGAAUACCCGGACAAUAUUGUGUAAUUAAUGAGGAUUAGUUUUGUAUAUUACUGAUGCAUCUUGAUAAGAUGUAUUUAAUAUUUUCUAUUGCUCUAAACAUUACUUAAUUAUUGAGCUUCUGUUCUUGAUGAAUAGUGUUAAACUUGAUUACUGCCAUUUCAAAUAAAUAAUAAUAAUAAAAAAUAGCGGGAAAUUAUUUUC